GUAGUAAGUAAUAGUUGCUUGGAACCCAAGCUACAUUUUGUCAUACAAACAGGGUGAUACUGUGAAAUCAAAUCAAUGAUAGCAUAUCAACUUAGAGUUAUUUUCCUCUCUAAAUAGUUGACUAACUCACAUACUAGACAUUUAUGUAGGUUUUUUUUUUUUUUUUUUUCCUCCCGCUUCUAUCUCAUCAACUUCACUGCAGAGUUUUCUUGAAGCCUCAUUGUUUUCACAGUGAAAGAAGGCAGAAUCUGGGAGCCCAGCCCAGGGGAUCAGACAGAACACAAGGUAGUUCUUGGUCCUAUGCCCACCACUGACUGCUUGAGAAGUCUUAAUUUCAUUUGUGACAGUCCAUGCUCAAGGUAGUUUAUUAUAUCUCUUUUGAGGAACAAAGGAAAGGAAGCUUGUGAUUUGCAAGAGUGAAAAGACAUAAUCUCCAAAGAGGGCUUUGAGAAGAGAGGACCAGGUUAAUAUCUGCUAGACUUUUGUCACAGACUUGGAAGUUCUGCAGGGACAAAGGUUAUUCAGGGCAUCGACACCCUGUCACAGCCAAUAUUCAUUGAUCUGGAACAUUUGACAGCAGAAAUUUAAAAAUCAAAUAUUGUUCUUCCCAACAUUGUCAUGCUGCCUUUCUUGGUCUGCUGGCUUAUCUUGCUGCUGUGAUACCAGGAACAAUUCAAAUGCUUAUUGAGGAAAAACUAGGACUGGCAGAAAAGCAGACAGAAACAAUUCCUUGUUAGAACUCUGGUUCGGUAACUCAUCAAAUUGCACACACAUUAGGCAACCAGACAACCUACAAUGGUAAAGAGUGCGAUUGAGAAAGUGAGAGACUGAGAAAACUGCCCCCUGAACUUACUUGGCCAGCUAUGCGAUGCGCCCCAGCAGGAAAAAGUAUCAAUUGGUAAUCACAAACACUUAACUUUUUACUCACAGAGACACAGGAAUGGAUUUGAUCAUGUCUUGGAGUACUUUGAGGUCU